UCCUCCCUGUCCUACUAGUCCCUCCCUGUCCCCUCCUCCCUGUCCCCUCCUCCCUGUCCCCUCCUCCCUGUCCCCUCCUCCCUGUCCUACUAGUCCCUCCCAGUCCCCUCCUCCCUGUCCCCUCCUCCCUGUCCUACUAGUCCCUCCCUGUCCCCUCCUCCCUGUCCUACUAGUCCCUCCCAUGGUAAUGUUUUGAAGGAGAUGUUCAGUCCUUGGGGGGUUUAGGUGUUCAUAUCUGCAUGUUCUGUGAGACGGACUAAGUGCCAAACUCUCCCGUGUGUCCGAUGUUCAACGUGAGCCUUACCACCGGUGCACUUUGUAGGGUACUAGUGUGGUUUCAGAUUGUGCCCUAAACUAAUGUGUACAAACAUCACGGAAGAUUAUAGCUUGUUUAUGUUUACAUUCUAGAAGUGGUUUGUUUACAUUUAGAAGUUAUUUAUUUAUGUUCUAGAAGCUAUUUGUUUACAUUCUAGAAGCUGUUUGUUUACAUUCUAGAAUCUGUUUGUUUACGGUCUAAAAGCUGUUUGUUUAUGUUCUAGAAGCUAUUUGUUUACAUUCUAGAAGCUGUUUGUUUACGUUCUAGAAUCUUUUUAUGUUUACAUUCUAGAAGCUGUUUGUUUACAUUCUAGAAUCUUUUUACGUUUACGUUCUAGAAGCUGUUUCUUCUCCAUUCUGGAAGCUGCCAAACUGCCCUGCUAGUUGUCUUCCUUCACAGAGCAUCACAGUCAGUCAGCUACCCAGAGAUAAAGUAGACAUACCACGAUGUCUGUUUAUUACUGUACAUACCCUGGGUCUCUCUACAUCUGCUCUGUGGAAUACAAACCCUGCUCGUUGUUACCAUGGUGACAACACACCCACACACACACACUCACUAGCGAACCUCACUGCCCAGUGUGUGUGUGUGUGUGUGUGUGUGUGUGUGUGUGUGUGUGUGUUGUUUCAGGUCUGAAGAAAAAGAAAGACAAGUAAAGUGUUCUAGAACCAGGAGGUGUUCUAGAACCAGGAGGUGUUCUAGAACCAGGAGGUGUUCUAGAACCAGGAGGUGUUCUAGAACCAGUCUGUCUCUCCAUCUUGUACAGCGGCUCUAGGUGAAGCCGAGACAUUUACAGUCAUAUUACAUAUUAUAUUUACAAUCCAAGAGGUUUUGGUGUUUGUUGAUAUAUAUAUAUAUAUAUAUAUAUAAAAAAAAAGGUCAAACAUGAUGAAUAUAUAUAAAACGCUGAAUAUAAAACUGACCUCCACAAAGCCUGGUGCCACCUGCUCCUUUUAGCGGUGAAACAGCGUCCUCUAGCAGCCGGAGGAAAUAGAGCUUUUAAAGUGCAACAACAACAGCUUCUUAGCAGAGACUAAUAAUAUCUCGAGCAAGAAUUUAGCUCGGACUGUCAGAGCGGUCUGAUUGGUGAGGGGGGGAACUUAGCUGUUAUUGGCAGAGAGAUUUCAAACCUCUCUUAUUGGUCUAUUAACCUAAUUAUGAUGUCACAAGGCUGGCCAAAAAAAACUCCGCCCCCAACCAAAAAACAGGAUUGAAAAUUUCAGAGGGGUCUUUUCAAAUAACUCUUCCCACUAAAAUGACAUUAUCAAUUUCACAGUAUUAUUCCAACCUCAUAGCGUGGAAAUAUAUCAAUCACAGGAACGUUUUUUCACUGCCCUGGGCCUUUAAAAGAAGUUUAAUAAAAAGUGACGAAUGUAAUAUUGUGUGGUAAAAAAAAAAAAAAUGUUCUGUUGAAUUCUGUGUAAUUAUGAAUUUUGAUUUAAAAGAGAUGUUUUGAUUUGUAAAAUUCAUUUGAUCUGAAUUGAGAUGGAGAAAUAAAAAAUAAAACGUUGAUUACCCCUAAAAAAAAAUACUGAAAGGUUGAAUAAAAUGACAGAUAAAACUCCGUUCUGUUAUAGGGGAGGUCUUUAUGUCCAGAUAAAAGGGGAGGUUUCCUUUAUGUUCAGAUAAAAGGGGAGGUUUCCUUUAUGUCCAGAUAAAAGGGGAGGUUUCCUUUAUGUUCAGAUAAAAGGGGAGGUUUCCUUUAUGUUCAGAUAAAAGGGGAGGUUUCCUUUAUGU
rnacentral:lncRNA from 1 species